rnacentral:rRNA from 1 species
GACGAACGCUGACGGCGUGCUUAACACAUGCAAGUCGAACGGUGAAGCGCCUUCCUUUUUGGUGGGUGUGGAUGAGUGGCGAACGGGUGAGUAACACGUUAGUAACCUGCCCCCUUCUUCUGGAUAACCGCAUGAAAGUGUGGCUAAUACGGGAUAUUCUGGGUCUGUGGCAUGAUGGGUCUGGGAAAGAUAUUGUUUCGGUGGGGGAGGGGCUCGCGGCCUAUCAUCUUGUUGGUGGGGUGAUGGCCUACCAAGGCGGUGACGGGUAGCCGGCCUGAGAGGGUGGACGGUCACACUGGGACUGAGACACGGCCCAGACUCCUACGGGAGGCAGCAGUGGGGAAUAGUGCACAAUGGGCGCAAGCCUGAUGCAGCGACGCCGCGGGAGGGAUGGAGGCCUGCGGGUUGUGAACCUCUUUCGCCAGUGAAGCAGGCCUGCCUCGUUUGUGGGUGGGUUGACGGUAGCUGGAUAAGAAGCGCCGGCUAACUACGUG